rnacentral:ncRNA from 1 species
UUCUUUAAGAGUUUGAUCCUAGCUCAGGAUGAACGCUGGCGGCGUGGAUAAGGCAUGCAAGUCGAGGGGGUCCCUCACUUGGUACAUGAUGUAAUCGUGUUUCAAGUGAGGGAUCACCGGCAAACGAGGUAGUAACACGUAGGAACGAACCGAGAAGUCAGGAAUAACCCGUUGAAAGACGGACUAAUACUUGAUGGUCCCGAAAGGGUAAAGAUUUAUCGCUUUUUGGUCGGCCUGCGGAAUAUCAGCUAGUUGGUGAGGUAAAAGCUCACCAAGGCAAUGACGUUUAGGGGAGGUGAGAGCCUGACCCCCACCGAUGGGACUGCGACACGGCCCAUACACCUACGGGUGGCUGCAGUCGAGAAUCUUCCACAAUGGACGAAAGUCUGAUGGAGCGACGCCGCGU